GACGAACGCUGGCGGCGUGCCUAAUACAUGCAAGUCGAGCGCUGAUGGUUUGUGUUUUUUCCGACUCGAUGAGCAGCGUACGGGUUAGUAACGCUUGGGUCUUCUUCCUUUCAGCGUGGGACAACAUGUGGAAACGAAUGCUAAUACCGCAUUCACACUUUAAACACAUGUUUAAGGUGUGAAAGAUUCAUUUGCUUCACUCAGAGAUUAUCCCGCGUUCUAUUAGCUAGUUGGUGGGGUAAAGGCUCACCAAGGCGAUGAUACAUAGCCGAUCUGAGAGGAUGAUCGGCCACAUUGGGACUGAGACACGGCCCAAACUCCUACGGGAGGCAGCAGUAGGGAAUCCUCCGCAAUGGGCGAAAGCCUGACGGAGCAACGCCGCGUGAGUGAUGAAGGAAUUCGGAUCGUAAAGCUCUGUUGGUUAUGAAGAAUGUGCAGAAGGGGAGAAAUGACCUGUAGUGACGGUAGUAAACGAGUAAGCGACGGCUAACUACGUG
rnacentral:rRNA from 1 species